rnacentral:rRNA from 1 species
AACGUAGGGGGCGAGCGUUGUCCGGAUUUAUUGGGCGUAAAGCGAGCGCAGGUGGUUUAAUAAGUCUGAUGUAAAAGGCAGUGGCUCAACCAUUGUGUGCAUUGGAAACUGUUAGACUUGAGUGCAGUAGAGGAGAGUGGAAUUCCAUGUGUAGCGGUGAAAUGCGUAGAUAUAUGGAGGAACACCGGUGGCGAAAGCGGCUCUCUGGACUGUCACUGACACUGAGGCUCGAAAGCGUGGGUAGCAAACAGG